UACAGAGGUCCCGAGCGUUGUUCGGAUUCAUUGGGCGUAAAGGGUGCGUAGGCGGUCUGUUGCGUCGGCUGUGAAAACCCGGGGCUCAACUCCGGGCCUGCAGCCGAUACGGGCAGACUAGAGUUCGGUAGGGGAGUCUGGAAUUCCUGGUGUAGCGGUGAAAUGCGCAGAUAUCAGGAGGAACACCGGUGGCGAAGGCGGGACUCUGGGCCGAUACUGACGCUGAGGAGCGAAAGCGUGGGGAGCAAACAGG
rnacentral:rRNA from 1 species